rnacentral:rRNA from 2 species
UGGGGAAUUUUGGACAAUGGGCGAAAGCCUGAUCCAGCAAUGCCGCGUGUGUGAAGAAGGCCUUCGGGUUGUAAAGCACUUUUGUCCGGAAAGAAAUGGCUCUGGUUAAUACCUGGGGUCGAUGACGGUACCGGAAGAAUAAGGACCGGCUAACUACGUGCCAGCAGCCGCGGUAAUACGUAGGGUCCAAGCGUUAAUCGGAAUUACUGGGCGUAAAGCGGGCGCAGGCGGUUGUGCAAGACCGAUGUGAAAUCCCCGAGCUUAACUUGGGAAUUGCAUUGGUGACUGCACGGCUAGAGUGUGUCAGAGGGGGGUAGAAUUCCACGUGUAGCAGUGAAAUGCGUAGAGAUGUGGAGGAAUACCGAUGGCGAAGGCAGCCCCCUGGGAUAACACUGACGCUCAUGCACGAAAGCGUGGGGAGCAAACAGG